GCCUGUGUGGCUCAGUAGUUGAGCAUCGACCCAUACACCAAGAGGUCCCAGGUUCCAUUCCUGGUCCGGGCA
rnacentral:tRNA from 1 species